rnacentral:lncRNA from 1 species
GUUGAACGUCCUUUGGACGUCCAUACUGGACGAAAUACGGACGUUUUAUGAACGCUUAUAUAUUUUAUAUUGGACACAUUAUUACGGGAUCAAAUAGCAAAAUAAUUCAAUAAAAUAUUAACUUACGCGUUAACUUUACGUUAAUGAAAUACAGUCAAACCUGUCAGUAACGGCCACUAAAAUGAAAGAACUAUUGGCCGAUAUAGAAAGGUGGCCGUUAUUGCCAGUUUUUGUAGUCUAGAUAUACAGUAAAACUUGUGUUACUGGCCACCUGAUAAAAUCGGCCACCUGUACUAACGGCCAGUUUAAAUAUUCCCCAAACCAAUUAUAUCUAGACUACAAAAACUGGCAAUACCGGUCACCUUUCUAUAUCGGCCAAUAGCUUUUUCAUUUUUAGUGGCCGUUACUGACAGGUUUUACUGUAAUUGGUUUGGAGAAUUUUUAAACUGACCGUUAGUACAGGUGGCCGGUGUUUGCAGGGGGCCGGUAACACAGGUUUUACUGUAGUUUAAAUCGAAAAGAUUAAAUCUUAAUUCAAAAUUAUAUAUACAAUUAUUACAAUUAUAAACAAACUAUAUAGUUUAAUAUCCAAAAAAUGUUUUUGAUUUUAUGUAAUGUAAUGAAAAUCUUAUUUGUAAAUUAUUGGUUACAAUAUUUAACAAUAGGAAAUAUUCAAGAAUAAAUAAAAUAAAAGUUUAAUCCUAACAACACAAAACAUUCAAGGAAUGUAGGUACUACCGUUCUAUUCCGUGAACAUCUAUCUGAUUAAAUUAUGGGUGGAAAGUUACCACAAGAUACCUAUUCUAUGAACAAUGUCUUUCUGGAGGGGUAAAAUUUUCCAUUACAAGAUUUUAAGAGAGGCCAUAUACUAUUCAAUUUGCGUUCAUUUUCAAAUUUGCCGCGCAAGUAUCUAUGUAGCGUCUCGUGGUCAUUGGUCAUCAAUUGGUCAUCACAUUUCAUUUUCAUAACAUAACCGAUAACCGACACCGAUAACCUAAAAAUUUAGCAAAGUAAAAAUUUUGAUUGGAAAAAAAUGCAUCGAUAACUGUCGAUAAGGGGGUGUGGGAAAUGGAAAUUAGUGGCUUUUUUGCUGGACUGUCUGCUAGUUUUUGCUCUGGGCUCUGGCUAGAUCUCUUGUUUAAACAAUUUUAAUCAGCUGAAAGUGGCCUACAAAAAAAAAA